rnacentral:rRNA from 1 species
GUGCUUGCACUGAUUUCAACAAUGAAGCGAGUGGCGAACUGGUGAGUAACACGUGGGAAAUCUGCCCAGAAGCAGGGGAUAACACUUGGAAACAGGUGCUAAUACCGUAUAACAACAAAAUCCGCAUGGAUUUUGUUUGAAAGGUGGCUUCGGCUAUCACUUCUGGAUGAUCCCGCGGCGUAUUAGUUAGUUGGUGAGGUAAAGGCCCACCAAGACGAUGAUACGUAGCCAACCUGAGAGGGUAAUCGGCCACAUUGGGACUGAGACACGGCCCAAACUCCUACGGGAGGCAGCAGUAGGGAAUCUUCCACAAUGGACGAAAGUCUGAUGGAGCAAUGCCGCGUGAGUGAAGAAGGGUUUCGGCUCGUAAAACUCUGUUGUUAAAGAAGAACACCUUUGAGAGUAACUGUUCAAGGGUUGACGGUAUUUAACCAGAAAGCCACGGCUAACUACGUGCCAGCAGCCGCGGUAAUACGUAGGUGGCAAGCGUUGUCCGGAUUUAUUGGGCGUAAAGCGAGCGCAGGCGGUUUUUUAAGUCUGAUGUGAAAGCCUUCGGCUUAACCGGAGAAGUGCAUCGGAAACUGGGAGACUUGAGUGCAGAAGAGGACAGUGGAACUCCAUGUGUAGCGGUGGAAUGCGUAGAUAUAUGGAAGAACACCAGUGGCGAAGGCGGCUGUCUAGUCUGUAACUGACGCUGAGGCUCGAAAGCAUGGGUAGCGAACAGGAUUAGAUACCCUGGUAGUCCAUGCCGUAAACGAUGAGUGCUAAGUGUUGGAGGGUUUCCGCCCUUCAGUGCUGCAGCUAACGCAUUAAGCACUCCGCCUGGGGAGUACGACCGCAAGGUUGAAAC